CGAAUCCACUUAGGCCCACCACUUCCGAUUAUGAUGUAUGGAGUUUUGGAAGCGGGGGAUGUAGCUCAAUUGGGAGAGCGCUGCCCUUGCAAGGCAGAGGUUGGCGGUUCGAUCCCGCUCAUCUCCAC
rnacentral:tRNA from 1 species